AGAUUGAGGGUGAUCUGUGUGCAACAUCUGUCACUCCAUUACUCUUCAGGGUUGAUUCAGCUCAUCUGGAUGGCUAGGUGGGUGUCCCCUUCCUCCCUCAGCACUUCCACGUGCCUCCCUCCCAAAGUUUGCUCAGUUGAAGUGGAUGUCCACCUCCAAUAGAGGAAGACUGCUUCUCAGCUCAGGGUAUAUGAGUAGCUGCGCUCCCCUGCUAGAACCUCCAAACCAGCUCUUGAAAUCCUCCUAAGAUCUUAAAUGCUUGUUCUUUAUCUAUAGUUUGUGUUUCUUAUGUAAAAAAGAUGAUACU
rnacentral:snRNA from 1 species